rnacentral:piRNA from 1 species
UGUGAUCUGGUUGUCUAACAGGGUGUGG